rnacentral:rRNA from 1 species
UACGUAGGGUGCAAGCGUUGUCCGGAAUUAUUGGGCGUAAAGAGCUCGUAGGCGGUUUGUUGCGUCGGCUGUGAAAUCUCGAGGCUCAACCUCGAAACUGCACUUGAUACUGCCUUGCUCGAGUACUGGAGAGGAGAUUGGAAUUUACGGUGUAGCAGUGAAAUGCGUAGAUAUCGUAAGGAAGACCAGUGGCGAAGGCGAAUCUCUGGACAGUUACUGACACUGAGGCACGAAGGCCAGGGGAGCAAACGGG